UGAUACCAUUCGGAGGCAAAUAGAUCUGGGCACGCAGUAUGCGUUAAACUGCGCACAUCAGAGUUAAAACAUAAUUUGAUCCAAUACUUGAAUGUAUCAGCCAUGCUCUUGUUUCUGGUAGGUUCUGACCAUUUUCUAAGCAUAGGACAG